rnacentral:tRNA from 1 species
AAUGGUGGUUUAGCGGUUAGGGCAUUCGCCUUUUAACCGACAGGUCACAAGUUCAAACAUGAACUCGUACA